AUUACCCUGGGUAGGCUAAGUAACCUACGUAUAAAAGUAUGUCAGCUUCGCCUGCCCACUGUUGCCCUAAAACGCCGACUCCACGCCUCUUCUUCUCGCGAUCACCGGCUCUCCCUGGUGGCAGUCACUCCACCGAAUCGGCAGAGCUCCUCACCGAAGACUCGAGCUCAGAUCAAGCCUCGCAUCCCGCAGCUAGAUCCGUGGAGGACAUUUGGAUUCGGGUGGUAGCAAGGACAGAGCGGGGAUGUCUGGCAGAGGCGCAAGGACACGAAAGGCAAGUCCAAUCUCUAUGCAAGUUGCGAUAUCUGUGAGGUAUUGGUUAAGGAACUGGGAGUUGAUGGAGUCCUUAUCGACAAGUUCCAUGUGACUGUGAGGAUGACUUCCAGGAUAUGCCGGAAGACCCUAGGACGGAGUAGACGAGGAGGCGGGAUGGACGCAUGGUUCUGUCCGUUGUCCGGGAGUACAGAGCCUAUUGGGUUUACUGCGAGAGAUUUUUCCUUUCUUUGUCAUUUGGGUGGGAAAUGUUUGAGGAGUUUUUGUUCAACUUGAUAAACCUAGUUUGAUACUGUCGUGCCCAUUGGUUAUGAUAAUUUCUUUGAUGGUACUACAUUAUGAUCAUUCAGAUAGUAGUUGAUGAGAGGGAUUGAAAAAAAAAAAUCGAGAUGUUUCAAAUAGUUACAAGGGUACAGUUGAUUGUAAUGAUCUCCUGGAGGAUGUGAACAACUUUGUUAUUAUGAAGUUGAGUGAUCAAAUAUAUUCACUGAAUAGAAAGUUUGGAGUUGUUAUCA